rnacentral:rRNA from 1 species
GACGAACGCUGGCGGCGUGCUUAACACAUGCAAGUCGAACGCUGAAGCUCAGCUUUUGUUGGGUGGAUGAGUGGCGAACGGGUGAGUAACACGUGAGUAACCUGCCCCCUUCUUUGGGAUAACGCCCGGAAACGGGUGCUAAUACUGGAUAUUCACUUGCCUUCGCAUGGGGGUUGGUGGAAAGGGUUUUUUCUGGUGGGGGAUGGGCUCGCGGCCUAUCAGCUUGUUGGUGGGGUGAUGGCCUACCAAGGCUUUGACGGGUAGCCGGCCUGAGAGGGUGACCGGUCACAUUGGGACUGAGAUACGGCCCAGACUCCUACGGGAGGCAGCAGUGGGGAAUAUUGCACAAUGGGCGAAAGCCUGAUGCAGCGACGCCGCGUGAGGGAUGGAGGCCUUCGGGUUGUAAACCUCUUUCGCUCAUGGUCAAGCCGCAGCUUUGGGUUGUGGUGAGGGUAGUGGGUAAAGAAGCGCCGGCUAACUACGUGCCAGCAGCCGCGGUAAUACGUAGGGCGCGAGCGUUGUCCGGAAUUAUUGGGCGUAAAGGGCUUGUAGGCGGUUGGUCGCGUCUGCCUUGAAAUCCUCUGGCUUAACUGGGGUCGUGCGGUGUGUACGGGCUGACUUGAGUGCGUGUAGGGGAGACUGGAACUCCUGUGUGUACGGUGGAAUGCGCAUAUAUCAGUAAGAACACCCGUUUGCGAAGGCGUGUCUCCUGGGCUGUACUGACGCUUAGUGACGAAUGCGUGGGUAGCGUAAUAUG